rnacentral:rRNA from 1 species
UACGGGGGGGGCAAGCGUUGCUCGGAAUUACUGGGCGUAAAGGGCUCGUAGGUGGCCAACUAAGUCAGACGUGAAAUCCUUCAGCUUAACUGGGGAACUGCGUCUGAUACUGGAUGGCUUGAGUUUGGGAGAGGGAUGCGGAAUUCCAGGUGUAGCGGUGAAAUGCGUAGAUAUCUGGAAGAACACCGGUGGCGAAGGCGGCAUCCUGGACCAACACUGACACUGAGGAGCGAAAGCCAGGGGAGCAAACGGG